rnacentral:rRNA from 1 species
AGGACGAACGCUGGCGGCGCGCCUAAAACAUGCAAGUCGAACGAGAAACCCGGGCUUGCCCGGGUGGACAGUGGCGAACGGGUGAGUAACACGUGAGGAACCUGCCCCGAAGACCGGGACAACACCGGGAAACCGGUGCUAAUACCGGAUACCUUCACCGAAUCGCAUGGUCUGGUGAAGAAAUGGAUUCCGCUUCGGGAUGGCCUCGCGGCCUAUCAGCUUGUUGGUGAGGUAAUGGCUCACCAAGGCGACGACGGGUAGCUGGUCUGAGAGGAUGUCCAGCCACACUGGGACUGAGACACGGCCCAGACUCCUACGGGAGGCAGCAGUUAGGAAUCUUGCGCAAUGGGCGAAAGCCUGACGCAGCGACGCCGCGUGCGGGAUGAAGGCCUUCGGGUUGUAACCGCUUUCAGCAGGGACGAAAUUGACGGUACCUGCAGAGAACGCCCCGGCAACUACGUGCCAGCAGCCGC